rnacentral:rRNA from 1 species
UAAAGCGGAGGUAUUCGGGGAGACAGGUGGUGCAUGGUUGUCGUCAGCUCGUGUCGUGAGAUGUUGGGUUAAGUCCCGCAACCGAGCGCAACCCCUUAUUGCUAGUUACCAUCAUUAAGUUGGGGACUCUAGCGAGACUGCCAGUGAUAAACUGGGAGGAAGGUGGGGAUGACGUCAAAUCAUCAUGCCCCUUAUGACCUGGGCUACAAACGUGAUACAAUGGCUGGAACAAAGGGAUGCGAAGCAGUGAUGUGGAGACGAAACCCAUAAAAACAGUCUCAGUUCGGAUUGAAGUCUGCAACUCGACUUCAUGAAGUCGGAAUCGCUAGUAAUCGCGGAUCAGAACGCCGCGGUGAAUACGUUCUCGGGGUUU